GAUGAAGAACGUAGUGAAAUGCGAUACGUAAUGUGAAUUGCAGAAUUCAGUGAAUCAUCGAGUCUUUGAACGCACAUUGCGCCCCCUGGUAUUCCGGGGGGCAUGCCUGUCCGAGCGUCAUUGCUGCCCUCAAGCACGGCUUGUGUGUUGGGCCUCCGUCCUCCUCCCGGGGGACGGGCCCGAAAGGCAACGGCGGCACCGCGUCCGGUCCUCGAGCGUAUGGGGCUUCGUCACCCGCUCUUGUAGGCCCGGCCGGCGCUUGCCGACACAUCAAUCUUUUUUCCAGGUUGACCUCGGAUCAGGUAGGGAUACCCGCUGAACUUAAGCAUAUCAAUAAGCGGAGGA
rnacentral:misc_RNA from 1 species